AAGUCACUUUCCCUUCGGGGCAUUGGAGACAGGUGGUGCAUGGUUGUCGUCAGCUCGUGUCGUGAGAUGUUGGGUUAAGUCCCGCAACGAGCGCAACCCCUAUUUCCAGUAGCCAGCAAGAAAGAUGGGAACUCUGGAGAGACUGCCCGGGAUAACUGGGAGGAAGGCGGGGAUGACGUCAAAUCAUCAUGCCCCUUAUGAUCAGGGCUACACACGUGCUACAAUGGCGUAAACAAAGGGAAGCGAGGUGGUGACACGAAGCAAAUCCGAAAAACAACGUCUCAGUUCGGAUUGUAGUCUGCAACUCGACUACAUGAAGCUGGAAUCGCUAGUAAUCGCGAAUCAGAAUGUCGCGGUGAAUACGUUCCCGGGUCUUGUACACACCGCCCGUCACACCAUGGGAGUCGGAAAUGCCCGAAGUCAGUGACCCAACCGAGAGGAGGGAGCUGCCGAAGGUGGAGCCGGUAACUGGGGUGAAGUCGUAACAAGGUAGCCGUAUCGGAAGGUGCGGUUGGAUC
rnacentral:rRNA from 1 species